GACCGUGCAAAGGUAGCAUAAUCAUUUGCCUUAUAAUUGAAGGCUAGUAUGAAUGGUUUGACGAGAAUUAAGCUGUCUCUUUUCAAUUAAAUAUAAUUUUAUAUGCAGGUGAAGAAGCCUGCAUUUUAUUGAAAGACAAGAAGACCCUAUCGAGCUUUAAAGAAUUUAUAAGACCUACUGAGUAUUUAUAAAUAAAUAGGACUAAUAAAAACUUUGGUUGGGGCGACUGAGGAACAAAUAAAGCUUCCUUUAAACUAAAAAAACUUACUGGUAUUGAUCCAAUAUAUUUGAUUAAAGGAAUUAGUUACCGUAGGGAUAACAGCAUAAUCCUCUUUGAGAGUUCUUAUCGAAAAGGGGGUUUGUGACCUCGAUGUUGGACCAGAAUACCCAGAAGAUGCAGCCGUCUUCAAUGGUUGGUCUGUUCGACCAUUAAAAUUCUACGUGAUCUG
rnacentral:rRNA from 1 species